rnacentral:lncRNA from 1 species
ACAGUGAUAGUUGGGAUGGAUCUGGGACGGACAAUUUGGAAAGGAAGAAUGAUUGUUCUUCUUUUCCAACAUCAAUGGUUGAAUCGCACCUCAUACAGAUCUCAAAGCACUGCAGAUUCCUUCAUUCAUCUGCCCGCAAACUCCUUCGUAAAUCUCAAAGAGGCCAUUAUACGAUCUACUGGUGGAUUCAUGUGAAGGAAGGUAAAUCCUUCUUUCGCACAAAAGAUAUAAUCGUACCGGCAGAAGGGGGUAUCCACGAAUCCCACGCCUAACAGAUGGCAAAUCCUCUUUUUCUAGUACUGCCAAGUCCAAAUGUUUGAUCUACGAACGGUCUCUUUUGCUUCUCUCAAUAAUAGCAGCUGUUCGCUUAUUUCCCUCCGAACGUUCGCAUUAAAAGAGCUAUGCAGUAAUCUUUCAUGUAUCUGGAUUCUGAGUUGCUGGUACCAAGAAUUAGAUGUUUCAAUGACCCAAUGGCCUUACGGAUUGAGAUGCAAGGGCCACGUAGUUGGAGAAGCUCCACAAUGGCAUGACUUAAAAAUCUCUGUAUCUCUACCAUCAUAAGCGGAAACUAUCACACGCAUAUAAAAUAUGGUUAAGCAUAUAUAUACCCCACUUCAAUAACCAUAAAGAAUUUUACUGCUAGAUAAAGACACCUUUGAUUUCUAAGAAAAAAAGAUCCUUAGAUUGACUUUCCUCUAUUCAUUCUUCCUUUCCCUCCCACCACCUAUUAAUUUUCCUUCUCCUCUGCUCUCUUGGUGUUUGUAAGGAACAAGCAAAUCUUUUGCCCCCCGUGCCAGAAGCGGUCGUAGCUGAAUGGCUGGUGUCUCCUAUUGGCCCACUCUUAUCUAGCAACCCUUAAUAUAUAACUGGCAGAUGGAUGUGGAAUCAGCCUGCUUGAUGUGUUCUGCUAUGAUCAAUUGUCCAUGAUUGAUCAAUUGCAUCAUUCAACCAGCCCAAGUCGUAGCCUCAUAAUCAAGAACACUUCGCGAGAUGCGGGAUUUUAUACAAUUGAUCACCACAAUGAAUGCACUAAAACCAAUCUCACAAUCCAACCUACAAUUUCCUUCAAGCAAACCAAACCAAACUAAUGUAAAAUAGAGAACAAAACUGAGAGACAGAAGUGAGAACCAAAUUAAUAACCGAUCCACUGAUUUCCCAAUGAACUUGAUCAACAAAUUAACGUGGACUUAUUCAUUCAUCUCGAGCACACACCACACUGAAACUCCUUUCUCAGCUUCGUCAUCACAAAGAAUCUAGUGCAAGUAGUAGGUGAAGAAGGAGAGGACUGAGGCACCGAUCAGGGUGCCAAUGGCGGGCUUGACUGCGAAUGAGCCACUGGAGGGACCCGGUGCUGGGGCCUCAGCAGCCAAUGCCAUGGUGGCCGAAGCAGCGGCGACAAGGACGAUGCAAGCGAUCUUCUUCAUCUCCAUUGUGGUUGAGUUGGGUUGGAGACUAGGUCACCGGGAGCCUGCCUUUGGGUUUUCUGAAAGCUUGGAUGGAGAUAUAUCUCUUGAAUGUUUUUAUGCACCGAGAGAACAAGGUCUUGGGUGGGAGGGGUUUUAUAGGAGGGCUUGGUGAUUGCUUUUGCCAAGGAUGGUAGGUAAAAUUAAGGGAGGGGGAUGUUAGGGUUCGGUGGCCUUUGUUUUAUUAGGGUUUAUUUGUGGGGUUGGUGGCCUCCAUGUGGUGGUGGGAAGGCGUUCUGUUUACGUGAGGGCAUGUGCAUGGGAAUUUUAAGGCAAUGGUGAACGAGACAACCGGGUCCGGUCGUUGC